CUUUCGUCAUUCAAUGGUUGGAAUGCCUUCAUCAACAAAACAGAUACAUGCUAAUUUUAGAUCCUCGAUCUGCGAUUGUUGCAUAGUACUGUUAGUUUCGAAGAGCGUCAUACAUUAUUAGAGCCGGUUUCUUAAGGAUUUAGUGUUAACUGUUGGAACAAAUAUCAGAUUAAGGUCAGAAGAACGGAGGGAGGACAAGGAGACAUAUUUAGGAAUGAAGUCGAGUAGGUUUGGCUGUUCGAGUCUCUGUGCUUUAAAUACUACGGAUACAGUGCUCUAUAUUGAAUGAGGAUAUAGCGCUAAUAAGACCAAGGAGCAGAAUAUUACAUUAUUGUAAUAUGUGUAAUCCCUGACCUAACUAAUGUUAUCUCUCUACAUAUUUGCAUAGUUUAAAAUGAUCUUACCAAAAUAAAAUAAUUCUGGACAAUCAACCAAAGCAUUCAUUGACAUUAUCAUGAAUACUUACGAACCAUAUAUCAUUAAAUUAUUCUUCAGGUUCAGAGGACCAUGUGGCACAUGCUCCAUUGGUGAUCGUGACAUCAUCUAAACUAAUGUCACCAGUAAAAUCAAUUCCCCUAAUUCCUUCAACAUC